GCUUCAAAAUUUUAUGCAAAAUUUUAAUAACAAAAUCAACAGUUUAAAAAAAAAAUAUUGCGCAGAUUGAUGAUAAAAAAUUGAAAAUUCAGCAAGAUUUUCAACACACCGCAAAAAAGUCGCGUAUGAAAGUCUUUAAAACGCCUUCAGCCAUUAUCCUUUAUCGAAGAUUUUUCGUUUUUCAAAAAAGCAAAUUAUCCCGACAACAACAACGACAACAACUAUAUCAAGGACAAAAAUAGUACUGCCACGAGAAGCAGCACAAAGCGAAAGAAUCACAAGGGCAACUACAGCUAAAACGCUUACAAAGUCAUUGGCCGCUAAGGAGUACCUUCAACUUCGACGAAGAACGAAUACAUAAAUUUGAAGAGAAAAUAUGAGCUGUCUCAACUAUCCAAGCUAUUAUCGCUGUCUCAACCAAGAGAACUACUUUAAUUUUAACCCGCUGGAAACUGAGAUUUGUGCACAACAUUCAAUUAACUGCGCUGGAACCAACUGCAUCUAUAGCAAUGCCAACAAUCCUAUAUUUAAUACCAGCAGCAACGUAGAAAACGCAGAGAACGGCGUGUCUGGCAGCAACAAUAGUUUAAACCUAAACAAUUUCUUACAAUUGCCCUCCUCUGCUUUGCGCACAUUAGAACAAAAUAUUGGUAUUGAGCCCACUAGCAAUUGGUAUAGUUCAUCACAAUAUUUAAACGUAAUGAACAAUAAUAGAAUUAACGGGGACACAGAGGGCGGUGUCAAUCCUACUACAUCCACUACGAAUUCGAUGCAAUCCAUUAAUAGCACCGCUUCACGUGGCUGCCGUGUACGUUCAAGGUUGGGAAAACUAAAUCCAUUAUUUCAUAAAAGGGAUAAAGCUGAAGAUGACAAAUCCUUACCGCCACAUUUACUCAAGCAGGCACGCAAGACCGGCGCUUUACAAUUGAGCGGCAAGGGCUUAACGACAGUGCCUGACAAAAUUUACCAAGUAAACGAAACUGACAAAGAUUUGCCAACCUCAUUGGAUGAACUCACAGUGAAGGAGGAAGAUGCUUGGUGGAAUCAAAUGCCGUUGACAAAUCUGGAUCUUAGCUCAAACGCUCUAACGCAUUUGUCGCCGAAAAUCGAAAAUCUCGAUACUUUGACCACAUUGACACUUCACGACAAUUUACUAACCAGUCUACCACGUUCAAUAUGCCGAUUAGAGAAAUUGGUGCGUGUCAAUUUGAGUCGUAAUAAGUUAAGAGAGCUACCUGUUGAAUUUUACACGUUACCUGAAUUGCGUUAUUUAAAUAUUUCAUACAAUGAGUUUGAAGAAUUGCAUCCCGCUGUCAGCGAUUUGCAUAUGUUGGAAUAUUUGGAUGUUUCACAUAAUUCACUUAGUGGGCUGCCCAAUGGUAUUGGCUUUCUGGUGCGCGUAUCCGAGCUUUUACUCUCUUAUAACCACAUAAAAGAACUGCCCUCUGAUCUGGUGAAUAUACGGUCGCUACAAAAGUUGGACUUAAACCAUAACGACUUGAUAUCUUUGCCCGAGGAUAUGGGCAGCCUACGCAAAUUAUCCUGUUUAUACCUACAGCAUAAUGAUAUAACGCAGCUGCCGAGCUUUGAGGGCUGUCAAUGUCUUCAGGAAUUAUAUGUUGCCAAUAAUUUAAUUGGGAAAUUGCCUGAGAACUUUUGCUCAAACUUGCCACAUUUGAAAAUUCUCGAUUUGCGCGACAACAAAAUUACGAAAAUUCCGGACGAAAUUUCUUUGCUGAAAAAUCUUAUACGCCUCGAUUUGACCAAUAAUUCCAUAGGCAAUCUACCCUUGUCGUUGGCCGCAUUGGCACAUUUGGUUAGUCUGCAAAUAGGCGGCAAUCCCAUAAAAUCCAUCCGACGCGAUAUACUCCAGUGCGGUACAACGCGCAUACUGCGAACGUUGCGCGAACGGGCGCGUGCUGUCGACAAGCAGCAACGUCUUAGUCAAGGCGAUACAGUUUCCCUUGAAUCGUCAUCUUCUACAGCAACUUUUGUACAAAAUAGUUCCGAUAAAAUGGGUGCGGAUGGCUUGAAUAGUCCACGUCGACCGGCUGGCGGUUGUGAUGAAGAUGCGACAUUUCCCGAUAAACAAACUGCAAUGAAUUAUAAUGUAAAUUUGAAUGCAAAUGCGGGUGCGAGUGCGAGUGUGAGUGCGAAUCAACCGAGCGGAACUCAUGAACAAGCCCAAACGAUGCAUUCAAUGCAACAAAUUGCAUUCAAUUAUCAAAGCUAUCAAUAUAUGAAAAUGGAUAUAUCCAAAUAUAUACAAAAUGAGAAACACGCAUACACUGAAUGUGACCAUGCAGUACCUUGCGACGGUGCCUGACGAGGUAUUCCAAACGGCCGCCGAAGAGCACGUCAGCUGUGUGGAUUUCUCCAAGAAUCGUUUAGAAAGGUUGCCCGAUGCACUUCAACUUUUAAAGGGCAGCGCCAGUGAAUUGGUAUUCGCCAACAAUCUUUUAACUACAGCGCCAGCUUUUCUGUCACAAUUCACACGCCUUACUUUACUCAAUUUGUCGUGCAAUCAACUGACCGAUCUACCCAAAGAAAUGAGUGUCCUGAAUACAUUGCGAGAAUUGAAUAUCUGUAACAAUCGCUUCGACCACAUACCGACCUGCCUAUAUCAGACACAAAAUCUGGAAAUACUUUUGGCCAGCGAUAAUCGUAUCAAGCAUAUCGAUGCGACGCCCGACGGUUUGGGCGCUUUGAAGCGGUUGGCUAUUUUAGAUUUGCGCAACAACAAUAUCGAACAAGUGCCACCUGUACUUGGCAAUCUGACGCACAUUGGAACACUGGAACUGAUCGGUAACCCCUUCCGACAGCCUCGCCAUCAAAUACUUACCAAGGGCACCGAAGCCAUCAUGUCGUACCUGCGUGAUCGUAUACCAGUUUAGUACGAGCCGGAUAAACACAUCUUUUAUUUUAGUACAUUAGCGUGGAAUUUAAAAUUUGUUUGGAAACAAAAUGGCAAAUGUGAAUGUUGAUAGGCGGCGAAAAUAUUCAAAUUUUGCUUAUUUUAUAUUUAAUCACUCCUAACCUCCAACAAGCCAUGCGCGUGAGUACGCAGAAACGCAGGUUUAAUGGCGGUUAGACUGAUUUAGUUUUAGAAUUUUAUUUGUGAAACAAUUGACGCAAUAUUUUUUGAUCCAUUUAUAUAUACUAUAUAAUGUACGCUAAACCAAAAAAAAAAAAGAAAAUAUAAAUAUUUGAUCGAUUUGCAAAUAUGGUUCCUUUCGUCUCUUCAACAGGGGCAAUUGGACCAAUAUUUAUUUUUUUUUAGCAUUUACUAACUAACACUACACUAGUCAUUAUGUACAACAUGUAAAAUCA
rnacentral:misc_RNA from 1 species